rnacentral:rRNA from 1 species
UCUGGCAGCCAUAUCACCCUGUAGCCCAAGACUGGUUGCCCACUGAAGCUAAGCAGGGCUGAGCCUGGUCAGUACCUGAAUGGGAGACCUCCUGGGAAAACUAGGUUGCUGCUGGAA